GCCGUCAGGCUUGGCCCUGGAGCAGAAGCUGAGAUCCGGCAUCUUGAGACUGGAUCAUGUGCCAGAGAAAGCUAACUGGGAGUGGCAUUGGGCUUCUGAAACUUCUAAGCUGACCUGCAGUGACACACCUCUUCUAACAAGGCCACACCCCCCUGAUCCUUUUCAAACAGCUACCUUAUGAGCCUAUAGGGGCCAUUCUCGUUCAAGCUACCACAUCAGGUAUAGAAUCAUCAGAGCUUAGAAGAGAUGCAGCUCCCAGGCCAGAAGGAGCAGCCACAGGUAUCUACAGAUAGAAGAUUUGCCUCCACAGACAGUGGUAAAAUAGAUGAUGGUCCAAGCUACCCCUCAGCCAGAAAAUAAAGAACAUUUUCCCUACAAGUAAAUUACUACAAGGGAAUUCUAAGUAUUAAAAAUUGUAUCUUCAUUUAUUUGUAA